rnacentral:rRNA from 1 species
UGCCAGCCGCCGCGGUAAUACGGAGGGGGCUAGCGUUGUUCGGAAUUACUGGGCGUAAAGCGUACGUAGGCGGAUUAGUAAGUUAGAGGUGAAAUCCCAGGGCUCAACCCUGGAACUGCCUUUAAAACUACUAGUCUAGAGUUCGAGAGAGGUGAGCGGAAUUCCGAGUGUAGAGGUGAAAUUCGUAGAUAUUCGGAGGAACACCAGUGGCGAAGGCGGCUCACUAACACUAUAUUGACGCUGAGGGACGAAAGCGUGGGGAGCGAACAGGAUUAGAUA